GAUGAACGCUGGCGGCGUGCCUAAUACAUGCAAGUCGAACGAACGCACGAGAAGAUUGUUUCCUUGCUGUUAGCGGCGGACGGGCGAGUAACAAGUGGAUCACCAUCUUCUUAGUCUGGGAUAAUUUCGGGAAAAAGGAGACACUAAUGCAUGAUAUUUUGAACCGCUUAGAUCAAAAGUGCUAGACGCCCUUGCCGUCUCAUAUAGACGGUUCCGCGCUGGAUUAGCUAGUUGGUAAGGUAACGGCUAACCAAGGAAACGAUGCAUAGCCGACCUGAGAGGGUGAUCGGCCACACUGGAACUGAGACACGGUCCAGACUCCUACGGGAGGCAGCAGUGGGGAAUAUUCGGCAAUGGGCGAAAGCCUGAUCGAGCCAUACCGCGUGAGUGAUGAGGGCCUUCGGGUCGUAAAGCUCUUUUGUUGGGAAAGAAAAGAAGCAUAUGAAUCCCUGGACGUCUUGACGGUACCUAAAGAAUAAGCACCGGCUAACUUCGUG
rnacentral:rRNA from 1 species